UACGUAGGGGGCAAGCGUUGUCCGGAAUCAUUGGGCGUAAAGAGCGUGUAGGCGGCCCGGUAAGUCCGCUGUGAAAGUCCAGGGCUCAACCCUGGGAUGCCGGUGGAUACUGUCGGACUAGAGUACGGAAGAGGCGAGUGGAAUUCCCGGUGUAGCGGUGAAAUGCGCAGAUAUCGGGAGGAACACCAAUUGCGAAGGCAGCUCGCUGGGACGUCACUGACGCUGAGACGCGAAAGCGUGGGGAGCAAACAGG
rnacentral:rRNA from 1 species